AUUGAACGCUGGCGGCAGGCCUAACACAUGCAAGUCGAGCGGAUGAAGGGAGCUUGCUCCUGGAUUCAGCGGCGGACGGGUGAGUAAUGCCUAGGAAUCUGCCUGGUAGUGGGGGAUAACGUCCGGAAACGGGCGCUAAUACCGCAUACGUCCUGAGGGAGAAAGUGGGGGAUCUUCGGACCUCACGCUAUCAGAUGAGCCUAGGUCGGAUUAGCUAGUUGGUGGGGUAAAGGCCUACCAAGGCGACGAUCCGUAACUGGUCUGAGAGGAUGAUCAGUCACACUGGAACUGAGACACGGUACAGACUCCUACGGGAGGCAGAAGUGGGGAAUAUUGGACGAUGGGCGAAAGCCUGAUCCAGCCAUGCCGCGUGUGUGAAGAAGGUCUUCGGAUUGUAAGGCACUUUAAGUUGGGAGGAAGGGCAGUAAGUUAAUACCUUGCUGUUUUGACGUUACCAACAGAAUAAGCACCGGCUAACUUCGUG
rnacentral:rRNA from 1 species